UGCUCAAGAAUUAGUUGGCAUCUGAGUUC
rnacentral:piRNA from 1 species